CAGUGCACCAUACUUUCCAGCACUCUCACUGAUGUUGGUGUAAACAGCCCACCUUACUUGUGGUCUGACUGGAACAUCCUGGGCUUUGGCACAUGCAGUCCCUGCAAAUGUUGCAGAGGCAGGUCACAUGACUGCUCUCUAUAAAAACUACAUGUGUCAGAGGCCCAGCACACACCAUGUCAGGCAGCAACUUAACAUGUUGUUGUGACCCACAGGUUUCGUGCAUACAAUAAAUAUCAUCAGCCAGAAUGGACUUUGUAGUUCCUGGGACAAAAUGGCGCCCAACGUGGGGCUGAUGUGUUAUGAAGACGACCUGUGGAUGAUGUCAUGAGACUCCAUGUGGCCACGAUACAGCAGCUGCAGCAGGUGUAACGUCGCUGGAAUAUCCCAGGCACCGUGUCUCCUCUUGUGUUCACAAGACCUUCAAUAAGUCAUGGCUACUGGUGGUAAAGAGGACUGGGAAGGGUGUAAGGAAGAAGAGGGGCGUAUUGGCCAUGAGGAUUUACAGAAAAUGAU